UUUAACAGAUAACAGUGCACUCUGUAUCGUUUGCUUUAGCGUGAAAGCGAAGUCAUAAGGACAAAUGUCUCUGUUUCUGAUGUCACUCUCUCUUUGAAAUUUCCGUUUGAUAUUUCCUUCUACAGUUGCUUUCUGAAGAACCAGUUCCAGAAAAUUCAAAGUGAGGGAGAGAGAAAUUUGGAGGGGAUUUCAAUUCUCUGCAAUUGGAAUUUGCUAGCCAUGUUGGUUCAAAGAACAGUGAUAAUGAGCUGGAGGAGAGUGGCUAAGUCUUUACUGGCCGUCGUAGCCCAUUCCCUACUUUUUUCAUUCACGCUGUUGCUUGCUCUCAGGCUUGACCGUGCAGUGUCUUGCUCGUGGUGGUUUAUUUUUGCACCUCUGUGGCUAUUUCAUGCAGUUGUAGCACGUGGCCGAUUUUCUUUACCUGCUCCAUCAAUGCCUAAUGAUCGCCGUUGGGCACCAUCUCAUGCUGUCUUGGCAACUCCAUUGCUUAUUGCUUUUGAGCUACUCCUUUGUAUACGUCUAGAGAACAGUUAUGUUGUCAACUUGAAGAUUGUUUUUCUCCCGUUGUUGGCAUUUGAAGCAGCAAUCUUGAUUGAUAAUAUAAGGAUGUGUAGAGCUUUAAUGCCUGGAGAUGAAGAAAGCAUGAGUGAUGAAGCAAUAUGGGAGACUCUUCCUCACUUUUGGGUUGCAAUAUCUAUGGUCUUCUUCAUGGCUGCAACAAUAUUCACUCUUCUUAAGCUAUGUGGUGAUGUGGCAGCUCUUGGAUGGUGGGACUUGUUUAUAAAUUAUGGAAUUGCAGAAUGCUUUGCCUUUCUUGUUUGUACAAGGUGGUACAAUCCAGCAAUUCAUAGGCAUUCACAUAUUGGAGGGCCUGGUUCUUCAAUGUCCAUCAGAUAUAUCGAGUGGAAUAGAGGCUUGGUAGUUUCUUCAGAUGAAGACCGGCAUCAGAGCAACAGAAUAUGCAAUCUGCAGGACAUUGGCGGACAUUUUAUGAAAAUUCCUUUUAUUGGUUUCCAGAUCAUGCUUUUUAUGCGCUUAGAGGGUACACCUCCUGAUGCUGAACAUAUUCCAUUUCCGGUUCUUUUCGCUCCACUUUUGCUGAUACAAGGAGCUGGGGUCUUGUUUGCUAUUUAUAGAUUGGUAGAGAAAAUCGUUAUUUUACUACGUGGUGGAUCUGGUUCUACUAGAUACUUAACUAUUGCAUCCAAAGUUUGUGAUUUUCUUGGGUUUUUGCACCAUGGAUCAAGGUUAAUGGGUUGGUGGUCAAUUGAUGAAGGAAGCAGAGAGGAGCAGGCAAGACUGUAUUAUCCUGGAUGUUCAGGCUAUAAUACAUUCUCACCAGAUGUCGUGAAGAAGAUGCCUAAAUCUGAACUUGUUGAGGAGGUUUAUUUAUUUGGAGAUUGCAAGCUGCAUUAGGUGAGCAAACAGAAAUCACAAAGUUUAGCCAGCAGGAGUGUGAAAGACUUCAAAAUGAAAAAAUCCUAUGCAGAGUUUGCUUUGAGGAUCAAAUUAAUGUUGUGCUGCUUCCGUGCAGGCAUCAUGUCCUUUGCAGCACUUGCUGUGAGAAGUGUAAGAAGUGCCCUAUCUGCCGUGUCACAAUCGAAGAGCGACUGCCUGUAUACGAUGUGUAGUUCAAUUAUAUCCACAAGAUGGCUAGAAAGCUUCCUUGCUGCUUAUAUGUUUUUGGAUGAAGCAUGCAAAGAGAAGAUGACAAUUGUGUGGGGUUAUCUGAUAGCACAGGGGAACCGCAUCAAGCUUUGGAAACCAUUAUCAAGUUUGUGAAAUUGUCACCAAGUGUUUGAACCAUUGUCCGGGGAAAAUUCUUCCUGUGAUUUCCAGUUCAAGAACAUUGAUAUUUUCAACAACACGUUUUGUAUUACAAUAGCACAUUCUGUCUGUUCCAUAAAUAUCUGUCAUUAGUUGUAUUCUUUCGCUGAAAUCUGAGAUUGGUACUCACUUCCAUUAGUUGUACACUCCAUUAGGAUAUUGGCUCAUAACUUGUAUUGUUUUGCCUCUUAUCAGAAACUGAAAAACCCAAUUCAUAAACUCAAAAGAAAUUUAAUUUUAACAAUGCAUAGUUACCAUUUUGUGUCUAA